UGACAAGGUGGUGGGCUAACCUUGGACCAGGAGCUAUAGUCAAGAGGAUAGCAGUAUAGGAGGGAUCUUCUGACGAUUUCAUGGACUGCUCUGCGUGAGUCUCUCAAGGACCAUCUCCAGACUGUUAUGUGAAAGAAAAAGAAACUGUUCUGUAUCCAACAGAACCGAUGAUCAUAUGAACUCACAGACUGUGGCAGCACUCCUAAGACAUGUGGAAGUUCAAACCAGACCAGGGCUCAGCACUGAGAUGGGGAGCGGACAUGGGAUCCCAUUACUAACCAAGAAGUUAUCUACUAUUGACACCGGUUGGCAAAGGGAAAAAUCCAGUUUCUCCAGUGAAGCCUUCCCGGCUAUUAUCAAUCACACUGCUUGGCAGGCCUCAUGUACAGGAAUAGCUGACCAACACACAACAAACUUAGUAUUUCUGUGGAUAUUUUUUCUUUUGGCCUUUUUUUGUGGGGGAGAGGUCUUAUUUGUCAUUUACUUGUUUGUUUUGAUUUCCUUCUUUGUAUUUUUUCAUUGUUUCCUCUCUCUUUCUUCUUCUUCUUCUUCUCUCUUCCUCCUCCUUCCUCCUUCUUCCUUGUCAUCUUCUUCAUCGUUGUCUUGUUUUUUGUUUUGAAAGAGAGAAGAGAGCACCAAGUUAGGUGGGUAGGGAGAUAAGGAGGGUUUAGAGGAGUUGGGGGAGGGGCACAUGAUCAAAAUACAUUGUAUGAUAUUUUUCAAUUAAAAGUCAUUGCUAUUA
rnacentral:lncRNA from 1 species